GUCAUAUCUAUAUUUUAGUGCUUUGUAGAAUUCACCAGUGAAAAAUCUAGACCUAGAAUUUUUGGAGGGGAAGGAAUUUAACUGUGAAUUUUAUUUUCUUAAUAGGUGUAAGCCCAGAAGUGCCUGGGUGGCUCAGUCAGUUAAGCAUCUGACUCUUAUUUUGGCUCAGAACACUCCCACAGGAAGCAUCGCUGAUGGUCACUGGAUUGAUUUACAAAGGACAAAAGUACAAUGAGUAAAGGAGCAAAUAAGCACUUUUCAGAAAAGAAUCAAUAAACUCUGCUUUUAACGUGAAAAUAAAAGAAAUUUCUUACUGAAAAGAAGGGGAAAUUAUUCUUGGAACACAGAUGAUGAUAUCAACAGUGGCAGCAGCAGCAUCAACAAACCAAUUCAAAAAUCAAGAAAUUAUGUGUGAAAUGUAAAAAUAAUUGCCACCAAAGAGGAAAAUUAUGAUUGAAUAAGAAAAUAAAUGAGUGAUUAAGCAUGUUUAAUUAAUAAAAAUGUGGUGAGAGCCCAUUGUUUUCUCCAGUUCAAUGAAUCUGCUAUUUCUAAUAAUCUUAUUUGUUUGUGUAAAUUUUUACUGAUCAAGUGAGACAUAGCCCCAUCUUAC
rnacentral:lncRNA from 1 species